rnacentral:lncRNA from 1 species
CUUGAAAACUGCUUGUGAAAAUUUGCUCAAGAAAGAAUGGUGUAACUGUGAAGAGAAUUUGUUUUUUCACUUUCAACCAUCAUUAUACAUGCUUUUUUAACACAAAAGUUCACUCGUCUGUGACUCAAGAAAAAGUAAAGUUAAGCAGACAAUUUUUAAAUGAUAUUUACUAUGUAAAUCUUUCUUAAAAGUUAAAAUCAAAACACAAAGUAUCUGUGAUAAUCCUAAAAAUGACAAAAACAUUGAAUUACAUUUUUAAAAAUAGUAUGUUUUGCUAUAUAAAUGUAUAUGUUUUAGAAUAUUAACCAUAUAAAAUUAAUUUUCUAGUUGUGGAUAACUAGAAUAAUGAGUUGUGGUAUGAUUGUUGAUGAGACAACUAUCCACCAGAGAC